CAAUGAGGCAGUAGCUCCAGCCAAGUGCUCCAGAGUGCAUCUGCUGAUUAAUGUUUUAUCUUUCAUUGUUAUAGUUUAGGCUUUAUAACCUUAUUUCUAUUACCCUCUGUUCUUGGAUGUGAUCAAUUUUGAUUGAGACGGCCAGCAACUGUUGCCUCCUUUGAUGCUUUGGGAUCCUAGCCCAGCUAAGAUAUGGGUCCAAAGAAAAGAUUGCAUCCACCGACUCAACCGUUGGACACCCAGGCAGGAAAACAGCUCAGAUUAGAUCAUCUCUGGGCAAAUAAGGAGUUGGGUGAUAUUAUAACCUCUCUUCCCAACAACAGGUUUUCAGUUUUGGAAUCGUUUGCUGUAGAAGAACAAACAUUACUGCCAGAUUGGACUCCCUCUUCACAAGGAGUAACCUUGAGGGCCUACCAUAGAAGAAGCAGCCGCCUCCAUAGUGGUCUGGGAGCUAGAGUCAAGAGUUCACUGCAGCAAUUUGUAUGACCUACGGAAUUUUACACCUGUCAAGUCACUAGCCCAGGAGCUACAUGAUGCUCAAUUGAUCAAUGUUGCUAGCCUGCCUUAUCCCUCUUUGGGAACCCAACAGGAGGUUGAGCUUUUAAAGUAUAACUCUUUGGAACUUUCUACACAUGCUCAUUGUGCAACCCCUUCUGUAGAGAAGGAGUCUGAGGCACUCCAUUCCCUUUAAUUGUUACUUAGGAAGCCGAGGUUGAUGGUGCACUGCCCAAUGAACCUGAUGCAUAAUACUAUAACAAAGAUUUUGUCACUCUUCUGUCAUGGAAUAUUUCAUGCUGGGUGGCUAAAAAGCAUGAUAGCUCCUUUAUGGCAUACUUAUCUGGGUUUGACAUCAUAUAGAUUCAGGAGACAUGGAUGAUAACUGAUAUUGACCUUAGAAGGCUAUGGUUAUUAUGGGCUGAAAGCCGAUCCUCCAAUAACUAAGGAUAGAGCCAGAGGGGGGCUGGGUGUGUUUAUAUCCACAAAAUUGCAGGGGGAGGUGAUGGAAUUUGAACCUUAUGCUUCCCUUCCUAAGGCUCCCAUUAUUAAAUUCACUGACUGUAAUUUGUUGAUUAUUAAUGUAUACUUCCCCUCAGAAACUGUUCUCUGAAAUCAGAACUGUAUGGAGAGGUUUAUGUAUAUAACCUGUAUGUAUAUAAUAUGUAUAUAUAUUAUGUAUAUAACCUGAAGUUUCCAGACUCUUAUGUCAUUAUAGCUGGUGAUUUUAAUGCUAGACUUGGACUAAAUGACAUCAUUUUAUAUACAGCUCAUCAGAGAUACCCUCCAGAAAGGGACUGCCCUCCUCUGCUUCAAACACACCAGUCCAAAGACCAGGUUAGCAAUCUUGCAGGCCUUUGUAUGGCCAAUCUAAUCAAUUCCUUGGAUGUUUUUGUUAUGAACACGGCCAUGGAAUGCUCGGUGGAGGGGGAGUAUACUCACUGGGCUGGGACGAGAGCAAGUGUCUUAGAUUAUAUUCUUGUCUCAUGCAAUUUACUGAGAUUACUGGAUCAGUUUAAGAAAGAUAGCCUUAUAAAUAGUGACCACCUCCCUUUGAUCCUUUCCCUGAAACCUUUUGUAGAGGGAUUAUAUUUAGAGCAUAUAUUUCGGACUGUCUUUAGCGAUGGAGAAAAGCUCACCAGAGUGAAAUGGGCUACCCAACAAGAUGGUCAAUUUCAGGAGCUGUUGUUCUCAAAUAAUGUAUUACUAUGUUGAGCUACUUUGUUAACUGACCACUCCAGUGAUAGGGUACUUGAUCAGUUCCAGACUCUCAUCCAAAUAAUUAACAGCCCCUUGCCCAAUGUGCUUAGAAUAGAUCUAAUGGAUGCAGAGGUGGUACCAGUCGAUGGUUUGAUCAAGAUUGCUUAAUGCAAAGAAGGCCUUAGCUGCCAACUUUAAACUUUAUAGGGCCAAUGAGAGCUGCAUUACAGUGCAACAUAUCCUGGACCAGAAAAAAAGAGAGCAAAGUAUUAAUAAAAGGAAAGAAGAGAGCUGCACUUAGGGAAACCUGGGAGUGACUAUGGGUCACCUCUAGGACUAAUGACACUACCACCUUUUGGCAUAUUGUAUCUGCCCAUCCCUCUGGCAGGGGACCUGGGUUGGGCUGUCAUAUCUCUGCAGAUGUGUGGGUAACCCACUUUUGGGCUCUGUAUGGGAUGUAUCUCCCUGAUGAAAUGCCCUUAUUGCCUCAUCUGGAAUCUUUACUGAUCUGGCCUUCAGUCUCCACCAAGGAGGUCACUAGUCUAGUAACCCAACUUAAAUUGGGUAAAGCCCCUGGGUUGGACAAGAUAUCUUCUGAACUGUUAAAAUUGAAUACUGAAUGGUGGGCCCCUGUACUUGGAAGACUAUUUACCUACUUCGGCCGAACUGCCUGUAUCCCAGAGGAAUGGGGUUGUAGCAAUCGGCCCCUCCCUCACCCCAAAGAGUGAACUGGAAGUGAACCCUGUCUUGUCUGUCAGGCAGUGACCUCUGGGGAUCAGCCACUCAGCACAAGGUGAUGGGACCUAGAGGGCCUGGAGGCAGGAAGUGAAGGGGAGGUCUUUGUUCUCAGAAGAAGCCAGGACGGCGAUGAGAGAAGAUGGGGAACAGGCUUCAUGAGUGCCAGCAAUGAAGUCUUGUUGCCUCAUGGCCAACAGCCAGCCUGGAGACUUCUCUUAUGAAAGGACAUCUGCAGAUCCUUGGGAGAAAGAAUUGCAGGAAGCUUGAAUUCUCUCCUGGAGUCUGGGGUGAGUUCAAAAGGGAAAGAAGCCAGGGCUUUUUGCCUUUGGAAAGGUUUAGCCAGGAAACUGUGUGUUAGUUAGCCUGCGUUAGAUUACUUUAUUUUGGUUCUAUGUAAAUCUUUACAACUGGUCUAUUGUGUUUUAUUUGUAAUGUAACCUUCUAAGAAACCCUAGCCUGAGCCCUUUUUAUCCCAACGGGGCUCAGCAGAAGUCCCUGUACCACGUAAAGGGGCUUAUAAAGGUUCCUUGCAACUCCAAAUAUCAGGUCGGGUGUUUGGAAGUAAUCUUUUAAGGUACAGUGGUCCCUCAACUUACGAAGUACUCGACAUCCGAAGAUUUCGACUUACGAACGACAAAAAAUACCGGAAGUUGUUGCCGGUUUAGAUGCGGCUUCCUCGACCUACGAAUUUUUAGAUGCAGUUUCCUCGACUUACAAAUGUUUCCAGACCUCCGUGGAUGCGCUUUUCGACUUACGAAAAUUUCGACCUACGAACGUGCGUUCAGAACGGAUUAUCUUCGUAAGUCGAGGGUCCACUGUACUGAGUAUUUGCUUUUUACCUGAAAGCUGAGAGCCUCAGACUGAAGCAGUUUGUAGUAUUUUGAAUAGUUUUUCUCUUUUUGUUCUUUAUAUUUCACCCACCUCUGAGUAGAUUUUUAACUCAGGAAAAAGAGGUUUUACUCUGGUGCAAACACAUCUCAAGUCUGAUUACUCAGCAGCUCAUACUACCAAGUUUGCUCUUCACAUGUAGGCUGCACAUGGAGGGUUUUCUGUACUUUUCCAUUGGUAAAAGGAGAAGAGUUUCCUUGGAAUUUCGCCCACACCAGGGAGGGAUUAAACUCUGUUAAAAAGUGGGCGUGGUGGCAGCGAUUACCAAAGGGACAGUUUUAAGUUUUAAAAGAAUAGCCUUUGUUGAGCAAACAUGGAGGGAAUGAAUCAACAUUUUUCUUCCCCCCACAUGGACUUACUCGUAGACAAAGGCUGGGCUUAAAUCCACUAUUCGCUACAGAAUGGGGUACAACUGUGAUUGUUCCUCUCUACAAGAAAGGCCAGCACUCUGACCCCUCUUAAUUAUCGUACAACCAGUCUGUUGAGUAUCAUUAGCAAAUUAUACCAGACACUUAUAUCUUAAACUCAUGGACUGGUUGGAGCAGGAGAUCAUACUAAGGGAAAAACAAGCGGGGUUCAGGCCCAGUUGAUCAACUCGUGAUCAGGUCCUAGUACUACAGCAUCUGGUCAAAAAGUACUCACCAUUGUAUGCAGCCUUUAUUGACUUUAAGGUGGUGUUUGACUCCAUCUCUAGAGCGCAUUUGUGGAGUAAACUUGCCAAUUCCACCAUUGAUUGUUGGCUGGUCCUUAUUCGAAUGCUGCAUGAGAAUCCCUCACUGAGGGCGAGAUGCAGUGCCCAAGGACACUUGAGCCAGUCUGUUCCCACACUGAGGGGAGUAAAACAAGGGUGUAUUUUGGCCCUGCUCCUCUUUAUUUUUUAUAUGAACUCCCUUGUUGAGUGUAUGGAUAAUUCAAAUUUCCACCCUCCUAAACUAGCCAGUAAACAUAUAGCAGUUUUGCUUUAUGCUGACAAUGCGGUCAUUUCAUCUAGAACAAAUGACAAUGCGGUCAUUUCAUCUAGAAAUUCCAGCAUACCCAGCCACAAAAAAUUGUGUCUAGGGAUGCUGGGAGUUGUAGUUCAGCAACAUCUGGAGGGCUGCAGUUUGGGGAUGCCUGAUCUAGAAGAUCUGUUGGCACGAGAAGAGCUUUACGUAGGCUAGCUCAAUAUUGUGAAUAUUGUUUAUCCAUGAACACCCAAAAAUCAAAGAUCAUGGUUUUUGCAAAAAACUCCAAAACCCUAAGAUACAUGUCUGGUGGAUUAAUGGGGAGGUAAUUGAACAAGUAAGGACAUAUAAAUACCUGGGAAUGAUCUUCAGUGAAAAUGGCUUCUAGAGGGCCCAAUGUGUGAGCAUGCUGCAAUUAAUGCUCCAAAAAGUGCUUCUGCUAUUUUAAAGUUUUUCUUUCACAGAAGUGGCCACUCUAUACCAGCUACAAUUAAAGUUUAUGAAGCCAAAGUUCUUUCACAAUUGCUGUAUGGAGCUGCUAUUUGGGUCCCACAUACUUUUAAGCAAAUUGAGCUGGUCCAAUCCAAAUUUUUGCAUGUUCUAUUCUCAGCUCCAAGACGUGUGCCCAAUGUCAUUCUACAGCCGGAGGUUGGUCUAACAAGAGUGGAACCAAGGUUUGGAUGGAUGUUUUUAACUUCUGGAUCAUUUUCCCCCUUAAAGGACUAGCCCCCCCUCAUUCUGGAAGAUAGCUUCCAGUCUAGUUGGUGCAAACGUCUCUGUGAUAUGUUGGGCAAAUACAGAUUCUCUCCUUAAUUUUUAACACCUCUGAGUCCGGAUGCUGCCAAAGGGCUUAUAAAACAACAUAUAGCAGAUAUUUUUCAAUGUAUUUUCAGCAGAGUGAUUUGACAUGAAUCUCUGCAAGGAACUUCCUUGGUAGUUUUAUAAACUACCCUAAACCAGCCCACUAUUUAUUGAGUUUAACUACUCUGUCCCAAAGAAGGGCCUUCUGCCUUGCACAUUUUAAUGCACUUCCAUCGACUGUAUUGGAGGGUACGUAUCACCAAAUCCCUUUCACUUACCAGAUCUGUCCUUGUGGCCAAGCUGUUGGGACUGUGACACACGUUCUUUUAUAUUGUUCAUUUGAUAACGAUAUUCAUAUCUUUUAUUUCCCCCCUCUUAUAAAAUAUCCCUGCUAGAACGGAGAAUGGAUAUGCAUCCUUUUUACUAGCUGAUCAUUGUGCACCCAUAAUGCUGUGUGUGGCCAAAUUCUGUGUGGCUGAAUUAAGAUUAGGUCUGAGUUGGUUUGAGUUAUCAGUAUUAUCAAGACCCUGACAUUAUACUUUAUAUUACUUGUAUUAUCUUAACUGUGAUUUGUAUUUUUUUGUGUUGGGUCAAUGACUGUAAUAAAGUAUCUAUCUAUCUACUUGUAAUUUGUAAUUAAAUGUGGUUAAAUUAAAUGUGGUUUAAACCA